AUAGCAGAAUAAUAACAGGGUGAAGACACACAAAAGAUCAGUGACAUUACAAGGCGUUUAGUUGGACAUGAAGGCUGGCAUCAGAGAUUGGCAAAUUUUGCUCUUUCGUUUCGUUGAUCUGACGUCUGAAUCCACUUACACAAGGUUCAUCAGUUCACAAGGUUAUAACAAACACAGUCAUGGACAAUUUAGUAUCUUCAAUUCACCUCACUUGCAUGUCUUUGGACUGUGGCAGGAAACCGGAGCAGUAAAUCCACACAGACAUGGGGAGAACAUGCAAACUCCACACAGAAAGGACCCGGACUGCCCCACCUGGGGAUCGAACCCAGGACCUUCUUCAUAAAUGUAUU